rnacentral:misc_RNA from 1 species
GAUGAAGAACGUAGCGAAAUGCGAUAAGUAAUGUGAAUUGCAGAAUUCCGUGAAUCAUCGAAUCUUUGAACGCACAUUGCGCCCCCUGGCAUUCCGGGGGGCAUGCCUGUCCGAGCGUCAUUUCUGCCCUCCAGCCCGGCUGGGUGUUGGGCGCUGUCCCCCCGGGGACACGCCCCAAAGGCAGUGGCGGCGCCGCGUCGGGUCCUCGAGCGUAUGGGGCUUUGUCACCCGCUCGGGACGGACUCGUCGGCGCUGGUCUUCCUCCAGGCGACCCUUCGGGGCUCGUCUUCCUUCGGUUGACCUCGGAUCAGGUAGGGUUAACCGCUGAACUUAAGCAUAUCAAUAAGCGGAGGA